AAAACCGAGGCUUGGUAAGAUCAAGAAAACUUGCUCAGGCUCACACCACUAAAAGUGGGAGGACCUGGAAUUCGGUCUCGGGUCUGUCUGAUGGCAAACAUGGGCUCUUGCUCAUUUUUGUUAUCCUGGCAAUUAUAAAUUUUGUGCAAAUGGGGGCCAGGGUAAUGAGGAUGACGAUUACUGUACCACUCCGUUAUUCUUCUCUCCUCAUUCCUCUUUCCUGUAACAACAUCUGAUUGUUCCACUCAUCACAUUGCAGCUUGUCACUGGCUUGUCACAGAAGUGAUUGAGAUGCUAGUAAUUCAGCAUUACGACUUUCCGGCUGGGCGAGGUUGGCAAAAGCCUGGGGAGAUGUAUGUUUCUCUGAGAGCAAAUGGUUCUGAGGUUUGGAAAUGGGGACACCCCUCCCACCGUGCCCCAGAAAGAUGCAGUUGCGUGUGGUGAGGACAGCGCUCAGCAAAUCGGGCUGUGCCAAGUGGAAUCUGGGGGCUGCGCGCUGUGAGAACUUGACAUCUUCCGUGGCAGGAUGCCUUGGAAAGGUCAGACGUCCUUUGGGAUGAAACAGUCAUCAGUUUGGAGGAGCUUAGUUGGAUGGAGGUCAAAGAUGGAACUUUUGCAGUGGGGUCUGGAGGAUGCUGGUGGAAUGAGCCUCAUUGUGAUGGGCUCUCCUUUACGGCUGGCUCACUUCCUCACCUUGACUGUAAGCUCUUUGGGGACAAAGUCAU